UACGGAGGGUGCAAGCGUUAUCCGGAUUUAUUGGGUUUAAAGGGUCCGUAGGCGGAUCUGUAAGUCAGUGGUGAAAUCUCACAGCUUAACUGUGAAACUGCCAUUGAUACUGCAGGUCUUGAGUGUUAUUGAAGUAGCUGGAAUAAGUAGUGUAGCGGUGAAAUGCAUAGAUAUCACUUAGAACACCAAUUGCGAAGGCAGGUUACUAAGCAACAACUGACGCUGAUGGACGAAAGCGUGGGGAGCGAACAGG
rnacentral:rRNA from 1 species